rnacentral:rRNA from 1 species
GACGAACGCUGGCGGCGUGCCUAAUACAUGCAAGUAGAACGCUGAAGAGAGGAGCUUGCUCUUCUUGGAUGAGUUGCGAACGGGUGAGUAACGCGUAGGUAACCUGCCUGGUAGCGGGGGAUAACUAUUGGAAACGAUAGCUAAUACCGCAUAAAAUUGAUUAUUGCAUGAUAAUUAAUUGAAAGAUGCAAUUGCAUCACUACCAGAUGGACCUGCGUUGUAUUAGCUAGUUGGCGAGGUAACGGCUCACCAAGGCGACGAUACAUAGCCGACCUGAGAGGGUGAUCGGCCACACUGGGACUGAGACACGGCCCAGACUCCUACGGGAGGCAGCAGUAGGGAAUCUUCGGCAAUGGGGGGAACCCUGACCGAGCAACGCCGCGUGAGUGAAGAAGGUUUUCGGAUCGUAAAGCUCUGUUGUAAGAGAAGAACGGGUGUGAGAGUGGAAAGUUCACACUGUGACGGUAUCUUACCAGAAAGGGACGGCUAACUACGUGCCAGCAGCCGCGGUAAUACGUAGGUCCCGAGCGUUGUCCGGAUUUAUUGGGCGUAAAGCGAGCGCAGGCGGUUAGAUAAGUCUGAAGUUAAAGGCUGUGGCUUAACCAUAGUAUGCUUUGGAAACUGUUUAACUUGAGUGCAGAAGGGGAGAGUGGAAUUCCAUGUGUAGCGGUGAAAUGCGUAGAUAUAUGGAGGAACACCGGUGGCGAAAGCGGCUCUCUGGUCUGUAACUGACGCUGAGGCUCGAAAGCGUGGGGAGCAAACAGGAUUAGAUACCCUGGUAGUCCACGCCGUAAACGAUGAGUGCUAGGUGUUAGGCCCUUUCCGGGGCUUAGUGCCGCAGCUAACGCAUUAAGCACUCCGCCUGGGGAGUACGACCGCAAGGUUGAAACUCAAAGGAAUUGACGGGGGCCCGCACAGGCGGUGGAGCAUGUGGUUUAAUUCGAAGCAACGCGAAGAACCUUACCAGGUCUUGACAUCCCUCUGACCGCUCUAGAGAUAGAGUUUUCCUUCGGGACAGAGGUGACAGGUGGUGCAUGGUUGUCGUCAGCUCGUGUCGUGAGAUGUUGGGUUAAGUCCCGCAACGAGCGCAACCCCUAUUGUUAGUUGCCAUCAUUGAGUUGGGCACUCUAGCGAGACUGCCGGUAAUAAACCGGAGGAAGGUGGGGAUGACGUCAAAUCAUCAUGCCCCUUAUGACCUGGGCUACACACGUGCUACAAUGGCUGGUACAACGAGUCGCAAGCCGGUGACGGCAAGCUAAUCUCUGAAAGCCAGUCUCAGUUCGGAUUGUAGGCUGCAACUCGCCUACAUGAAGUCGGAAUCGCUAGUAAUCGCGGAUCAGCACGCCGCGGUGAAUACGUUCCCGGGCCU